rnacentral:rRNA from 1 species
CAGCAGCCGCGGGAAUACGGAGGAUCCAAGCGUUAUCCGGAAUUAUUGGGUUUAAAGGGUCCGUAGGCGGUCUUGUAAGUCAGUGGUGAAAGCCCAUCGCUCAACGGUGGAACGGCCAUUGAUACUGCAGGACUUGAAUUAUUGGGAAGUAACUAGAAUAUGUAGUGUAGCGGUGAAAUGCUUAGAGAUUACAUGGAAUACCAAUUGCGAAGGCAGGUUACUACCAAUUGAUUGACGCUGAUGGACGAAAGCGUGGGUAGCGAACAGGAUUAGAUACCCCGGUAGUCCCUGUCUCUUAUAC